GAUCAUGGCUCAGGAUGAACGCUGGCGGCGUGCCUAACACAUGCAAGUCGAGCGGAAUUUACAUGAAGCCUAGCGAUUGUAAAUUUAGUGGCGGACGGGUGAGUAACGCGUGGGUAACCUGCCUUGUACUGGGGGACAACAGUUGGAAACGACUGCUAAUACCGCAUAAGCGCACAGCUUCGCAUGAAGCAGUGUGAAAAACUCCGGUGGUACAAGAUGGACCCGCGUCUGAUUAG
rnacentral:rRNA from 1 species